GAUGAACGCUGGCGGCGUGCCUAAUACAUGCAAGUCGAGCGAACGGACGAGAAGCUUGCUUCUCUGAUGUUAGCGGCGGACGGGUGAGUAACACGUGGAUAACCUACCUAUAAGACUGGGAUAACUUCGGGAAACCGGAGCUAAUACCGGAUAAUAUUUUGAACCGCAUGGUUCAAAAGUGAAAGACGGUCUUGCUGUCACUUAUAGAUGGAUCCGCGCUGCAUUAGCUAGUUGGUAAGGUAACGGCUUACCAAGGCAACGAUGCAUAGCCGACCUGAGAGCGUGAACGGCCACACGGGAAGUGAGACACGGUCCAGACUCCGACGGGAGGCAGCAGUAGGGAAUCUUCCGCAAUGGGCGAAAGCCUGACGGAGCAACGUCGCGGGAGUGAUGAAGGUCUUCGGAUCGUAAAACUCUGUUAUUAGGGAAGAACAUAUGUGUAAGUAACUGUGCACAUCUUGACGGUACCUAAUCAGAAAGCCACGGCUAACUACGUG
rnacentral:rRNA from 1 species